UACAGAGGGUGCGAGCGUUGUCCGGAAUUACUGGGCGUAAAGCGCGUGUAGGUGGAUUGGUGUGUCAGAUGUGAAAGCCCUGGGCUCAACCCAGGAACUGCACCUGAAACUACCAGUCUUGAGUGGUGGAGAGGGAAGUGGAAUUCCUGGUGUAGAGGUGAAAUUCGUAGAUAUCAGGAGGAACACCAGUGGCGAAGGCGGCUUCCUGGACACCAACUGACGCUGAGACGCGAAAGCGUGGGGAGCGAACAGG
rnacentral:rRNA from 1 species